rnacentral:rRNA from 1 species
ACGUAGGAGGCGAGCGUUAUCCGGAUUUACUGGGCGUAAAGCGUACGCAGGUGGCUUCGUGAGUCGGACAUGAAAGCUCCUGGCUUAACUGGGAGAGGUUGUUCGAUACUGCGGGGCUUGAGGUUGGGAGAGGGACGUGGAAUUCCCGGUGUAGUGGUGGAAUGCGUAGAUAUCGGGAGGAACACCAGUGGCGCAAGCGGCGUCCUGGCCCACACCUGACGCUGAGGUACGAAAGCGUGGGUAGCAAACAG